rnacentral:rRNA from 1 species
GGGAACGUGCCUUUUGGUUCGGAACAACUCAGGGAAACAUGAGCUAAUACCGGAUAAGCCUUUCGAGGGAAAGAUUUAUCGCCAUUAGAGCGGCCCGCGUAGGAUUAGCUAGUUGGUGGGGUAAAGGCCCACCAAGGCUACGAUCCUUAGCUGGUCUGAGAGGAUGAUCAGCCACAUUGGGACUGAGACACGGCCCAAACUCCUACGGGAGGCAGCAGUGGGGAAUCUUGCGCAAUGGGCGAAAGCCUGACGCAGCCAUGCCGCGUGAAUGAUGAAGGUCUUAGGAUUGUAAAAUUCUUUCACCGGGGACGAUAAUGACGGUACCCGGAGAAGAAGCCCCGGCUAACUUCGUGCCAGCAGCCGCGGUAAUACGAAGGGGGCUAGCGUUGCUCGGAAUUACUGGGCGUAAAGGGAGCGUAGGCGGAUAGUUUAGUCAGAGGUGAAAGCCCAGGGCUCAACCUUGGAAUUGCCUUUGAUACUGGCUAUCUUGAGUACGGAAGAGGUAUGUGGAACUCCGAGUGUAGAGGUGAAAUUCGUAGAUAUUCGGAAGAACACCAGUGGCGAAGGCGACAUACUGGUCCGUUACUGACGCUGAGGCUCGAAAGCGUGGGGAGCAAACAGGAUUAGAUACCCUGGUAGUCCACGCUGUAAACGAUGAGUGCUAGUUGUCGGCAUGCAUGCAUGUCGGUGA